GUUUUCAGACUUCAAUUUUUAGGAUCAUCAGGCUUGAAGCAGGAAUCCAGGCUCAGCUGGUUUUUGACCUGGAAAAAGUCUGGAACAAGCUUGCAUGAUGUUGCAGAGCCAGUGUGUAUGCUGCCCCAGUUGCAUCCCUCUUACUAUCAGCCAUGGGAAUUUACAAGCUUUUAAACAAGGCUGAAGAAAUCCAGGAAACCACAAUGACAGAUCCACUUGAACAGGCCAUUUCAUGAGAGUGAUUUAAGAAAAUACAAAAUAUUUUAUAUCAGAGGCUGAAGUUGUAUAGUAGAAACAUUACUAAUAAUACAAAGUUCAGUGUAAUAAAAGUACUGUUUCUAAUGCA
rnacentral:lncRNA from 1 species